AUUUCCGCUGCUGUUUUUCUUCUGCUCUACCUCUUGCUAUGCUACGAAAACUUCCACUUCCAUGUGGCUCAUAUGUAUGCUCACCUAGGGUAUCCCAACGCCCAACACAUUGUGGGACAGAGAUAUUUAAAAGGAGCUGGUGUGCAAAAGAAUGAAGAGAAAGCUAUGCAGUGGUUCAGUCAAGCUGCAGAGCAUGGCCACCCUCACGCCUCUUUUAAUUUGGCUGUUGGAAAGCU